AGCAGUAGGGAUCUUCCACAAUGGACGAAAGUCUGAUGGAGCAACGCCGCGUGAGUGAAGAAGGGUUUCGGCUCGUAAAACUCUGUUGUUAAAGAAGAACAUAUCUGAGAGUAACUGUUCAGGUAUUGACGGUAUUUAACCAGAAAGCCACGGCUAACUACGUGCCAGCAGCCGCGGUAAUACGUAGGUGGCAAGCGUUGUCCGGAUUUAUUGGGCGUAAAGCGAGCGCAGGCGGUUUUUUAAGUCUGAUGUGAAAGCCUUCGGCUCAACCGAAGAAGUGCAUCGGAAACUGGGAAACUUGAGUGCAGAAGAGGACAGUGGAACUCCAUGUGUAGCGGUGAAAUGCGUAGAUAUAUGGAAGAACACCAGUGGCGAAGGCGGCUGUCUGGUCUGUAACUGACGCUGAGGCUCGAAAGUAUGGGUAGCAAACAGGAUUAGAUACCCUGGUAGUCCAUACCGUAAACGAUGAAUGCUAAGUGUUGGAGGGUUUCCGCCCUUCAGUGCUGCAGCCGCAUUAAGCAUUCCGCCUGGGGAGUACGGCCGCAAGGCUGAAACUCAAAGGAAUUGACGGGGGCCCGCACAAGCGGUGGAGCAUGUGGUUUAAUUCGAAGCUACGCGAAGAACCUUACCAGGUCUUGACAUACUAUGCAAAUCUAAGAGAUUAGACGUUCCCUUCGGGGACAUGGAUACAGGUGGUGCAUGGUUGUCGUCAGCUCGUGUCGUGAGAUGUUGG
rnacentral:rRNA from 2 species